rnacentral:rRNA from 1 species
CCUACGGGUGGCAGCAGUGAGGAAUAUUGGACAAUGGGCGCAAGCCUGAUCCAGCCAUGCCGCGUGCAGGAAGACGGUCCUAUGGAUUGUAAACUGCUUUUGCACAGGAAGAAACACUCGUUCGUGAACGAGCUUGACGGUACUGUGAGAAUAAGGAUCGGCUAACUCCGUGCCAGCAGCCGCGGUAAUACGGAGGAUCCAAGCGUUAUCCGGAAUCAUUGGGUUUAAAGGGUCCGUAGGCGGUUUAGUAAGUCAGUGGUGAAAGCCCAUCGCUCAACGGUGGAACGGCCAUUGAUACUGCUAGACUUGAAUUAUUAGGAAGUAACUAGAAUAUGUAGUGUAGCGGUGAAAUGCUUAGAGAUUACAUGGAAUACCAAUUGCGAAGGCAGGUUACUACUAAUUGAUUGACGCUGAUGGACGAAAGCGUGGGUAGCGAACAGGAUUAGAUACCCGGGUAGUC